CCCCACUCCAGAGCCCUCAGAACAAACCAUUCAACUUCUCUACUAAGGGAGCACACUUCACAGAAAAGCAUGACUUCAUUUUGGCAUGAUUCGUCUGCAAAUCAGGGUUCCCUGAGUGGGAUGUCUACAUCAAAUCCCUCUUCUCAGGAAUAAGUUCACCGCGUUUUUAUGUGACUCAAAACUACAGCAAUUGGCUGGGAGAAGAAACUUUUUAAAGUUUUCCUUCUAUGUUUCUAGCCUCUUCCAUUCUAGCAGGAGACUGUCUUAUGUUACUUCAAGCAAACAGGUUAUGCUUUUAAGGUGAAAGAGGUGUGAUGAUGUUCUUGAAACCACUGUAGACCAUAAAUACAUAUCACCUAAAAGCAUGUGGCAUGAUAAAA